rnacentral:tRNA from 2 species
UUUCCUGUGGUGUAACGGUUAGCACCUCUGACUCUGACUCAGAAGAUCGUGGUUCGAAUCCAUGCAGGAAAA